GUGGGUUACCAGAACUUAUUAACGUUAGUGUCACUAAAGUUGGUAUACAACCCCCCACU
rnacentral:scRNA from 1 species